CUACGGGUUGCACCAGUGAGGAAUAUUGCACAAUGGGGGAAACCCUGAUGCAGCAACGCCGCGUGGAGGAUGACGCAUUUCGGUGUGUAAACUCCUUUUAUAUGUCAAGAAAAUGACGGUAGCAUAUGAAUAAGCACCGGCUAACUCCGUGCCAGCAGCCGCGGUAAUACGGAGGGUGCAAGCGUUACUCGGAAUCACUGGGCGUAAAGGACGCGUAGGCGGGUUGGUAAGUCAGGUGUGAAAUCCUACAGCUUAACUGUAGAACUGCACUUGAAACUACCAACCUAGAGUAUGGGAGGGGGAGAUGGAAUUAGUGGUGUAGGGGUAAAAUCCGUAGAUAUCACUAGGAAUACCGAAAGCGAAGGCGAUCUCCUGGAACAUAACUGACGCUAAGGCGUGAAAGCGUGGGGAGCAAACAGGAUUAGAUACCCGGGUAGUC
rnacentral:rRNA from 1 species